rnacentral:piRNA from 1 species
GCAAAGGCUAGAGUUACAAAUACGAAG